GGCUUAGGAUGAACGCUAGCGACAGGCCUAACACAUGCAAGGUCGAGGGGCAGCACAAGGAGCAAUCUGAGGUGGCGACCGGCGCACGGGCGAGUAACACGUAUGCAACCUGCCUGUAAGCGGGGAAUAACCCGUUGAAAGACGGACUAAUACCGCAUAAUACUAAAUUACUGCAUGGUAAUUUAUUUAAACAUUUAUGGCUUACAGAUGGGCAUGCGCAUGAUUAGCUAGUUGGAGAGGUAACGGCUCCCCAAGGCAACGAUCAUUAGGGGUUCUGAGAGGAAGGUCCCCCACACUGGUACUGAGACACGGACCAGACUCCUACGGGAGGCAGCAGUGAGGAAUAUUGGUCAAUGGACGAGAGUCUGAACCAGCCAAGUCGCGUGCAGGAAGAAUGUCCUUAAUGGAUUGUAAACUGCUUUUGCAGGGGAAUAAAGUGCAUCACGUGUGAUGUUUUGUAUGUACUCUGCGAAUAAGGAUCGGCUAACUCCGUGCCAGCCGCUGC
rnacentral:rRNA from 1 species